UCGCUUACAUUAGCCGGCCGUGAAACGUGUCAAGUUAUCUGAGACGAGUGUUUUUUCGCGCCAUUUUUGUCUUUCGGAUUAACCUCAACCACGAUUUCUCAGCUACCUGUUUCAUCAUGCCUCGUACUUAAAUACGAAAAAAAAUUAAAGCAUACACGUCAGAUGAUCUGGCCCAUGCCGUCCAUGAAGUGAAAAUGGGGAACUCACAAUAUAUAGUGCAGCGCAAAAACACGGUAUUCCCAAUACUACUCUUUUUGAUAGAUUUAAAAUCAAUACAAGGCCCAAUAAAGGUAGACCACCAGCUAUACCCUGGGAGGAAGAGAAACGAUUGGCAGAUGCUGUCAAAAUCUUGGAAAAAUGGAGGUUUGGACUAUCUAGACAUGAAAUAUUAGACCUCGUUGGGGAAUAUGUUAAGCUUAAUAAUAUUCAGACACCAUUUAGGAACAACAUUCCAGGGCCCGACUGGUUUAUAAAUUUUCGGCGACGUCACCGACUUUUUCUAAAAAAGGCACAACCAGUUGAUUACGUGCGAAAAAAUUACCGAUCCAUUUCUCAUUUCUGAGUACUUUCAGUUAUUAGAACAAACAUUGAGAAAAUUGAAUCUUUUAAAUGUCCCCACUUAAUUUGGAAUCUUGGUGAAUCAUCCAUGUGUCUAGAUCCAACUAAAACCAAAGUGGUGGGAGAAAUUAAUAAGCCGUGCUCAAGAACAACACAUGGAACCGGAAAAGAAAACAUUGCAAUUUUAACAGGUGUAAGUGCCUGUGGCAACAAAUUACCACCUCUGAUAAUUUACCUUUGUAAAUUAAAGAGCUUUGCAAGUAUGUGUGGGAUCAGUGGAUGGCCGAAAAACAAGACUAUGGUUUCGAAAUAUCUUAUGCGGCAAGAGCCAAAGGCUGGAUGGAGGCAGACAUAUUCCUCAAUUAUAUGGAGAAAAUAUUGAUACCAAGUCUAGGCUAAAAUUGAUCUCCUUAAAAGUAAAUAAUGUGAUAAAUAAUAAACAAUACUAAAAA